rnacentral:tRNA from 1 species
CGGAGUGUGGCGCAGCUUGGUAGCGCACCUCGUUCGGGACGAGGGGGUCGCAGGUUCGAAUCCUGCCACUCCGACCA